UGGGGGAUAUUGGUCAAUGGGGGAAACCCUGAACCAGCAAUGCCGCGUGAGGGAAGAAGGUCUUCGGAUUGUAAACCUAAGUAGACAGGGACGAAGGAAUGACGGUACCUGUAGAGUAAGCUCCGGCUAACUACGUGCCAGCAGCCGCGGUAAUACGUAGGGAGCGAGCGUUGUCCGGAUUUACUGGGUGUAAAGGGUGCGUAGGCGGGGCAGCAAGUCAGACGUGAAAUGCCGGGGCUCAACCCCGGAGCUGCGUUUGAAACUGUAGCUCUUGAGUGAAGUAGAGGCAGGCGGAAUUCCUAGUGUAGCGGUGAAAUGCGUAGAUAUUAGGAGGAACACCAGUGGCGAAGGCGGCCUGCUGGGCUUUAACUGACGCUGAGGCACGAAAGCAUGGGGAGCAAACAGG
rnacentral:rRNA from 1 species